rnacentral:lncRNA from 1 species
AAGUGAAAAGUACUAUUUUACCUAACAAUCCUGCUUGUCUACAUUCUGAACAGAAAGAGAACCAUAGUUUAGAAAAUAAAGGUGAUGAAAAUAAAGAUGGAGCUUCUCAUAGUAAUAUUUCAAAUUUUAAAGCAGUUGAAAAUGAAGAUCUAUUUAGUAUAACACAUCCUAACACUGUUAAUUGCGAAGGUAUUAAAACUGUAGAAGCAUUUUUUGUGGGAGUGUUGGAGCAAUCGUCUGACAAAAAAAUUGAAUCAAAUAAAAACUCGGAAAAAGCAGAGGAUCUAGCAGAAAACAAGCAUCAUGAAGAAAGUUACCACUUUGAAUCAAAU